GGACAAAAACACUACCAAUACCGUUGCGUUUCAACCACCAUGACCCCGCUGAGUAUCACCCUUAUCCCUUCCUCCACCGUGCCUCCGACGCCCCUGAAACCUCCGCCAUCGGUGAAACAACCGCCGCCUACGCCGCCGAUCGAAGCAAAGUUUUUCAGCCGUAGAAACGCCGUCGUUUGGCUCUCACUCAUUGCUCCUCUAACUCAUCCUGCCUCCGCUUUUUCCUUCGGCAUAUCAGGACCAAAAGAAUGGCUGAGAGAUCAGAAGAAGAAGACUGCGAAGUACCUUUUGGCUCCAAUCGAGGCUUCUAGAAACAUCCUCCGAUAUGCUAAUCUCUUACUUACUAGAACUGAACCAGAGUUUGGUGAAAAGGAACUUGAAGAAGUUCAGAGCUUAUUGAGGUCUGCUGCAAGGGAUUGUGUGCCUCAAGAGAGGAAUUCCUUCGUUCAGUUUCAAUCAAAAUCAGGAGUUGAGGUUUGCACAUUCCAGCUGGUUGUGAAAAAUGCUUCUUCUUUGCUUCCUGACAAGGACCCGGUAAAGUUAGCAGCUGAAGCCAAACUUAUCGAUCUCAUAAGGUCUUUUGCUUCUCUCAGUGACAUGGCAAAUGAAUUUGAUGUGCAAGUUGCUUCUAAUAGACAAAAGGUUGCAAAUGCUCUCAUGGAUACACUGACCUGUCUGGACAACUUUGAGCAAGGUGUCAAGGAAUGCCUUGAAGUUUGAUUAUCCUUAUUCAAGUCAAAGAAGGAACAGGAUGAAUUUGGCAUUUGCCAAUUUGGCAGAUGCUUUUAUCCUUCACUAUUGGGACGGGCAAAAAGGAAAACUUCAAUAGGUUGUAUCAUACAUUUAAUGUUAAUAUUAUUCUUUCAUUGUUUUGAUUUUCUCCUGUUAACUUCUCUUUACUUCAGUCGCUAUUAGUUAUAGUUAGCAGACCUAUCUUCACUUUCUUUGAAAUUACUGCAGUAAUCUUGGAUUCAAGUAUGACAGUAGCACUAGCUGCUAAGUUGCAUACUAUGCAAAGAACAUGCUUUUCGUGCAGCCAAUAGUUCAC
rnacentral:misc_RNA from 1 species